AUUGAACGCUGGCGGCAUGCUUUACACAUGCAAGUCGAACGGCAACAGGGAGCUUGCUCCGCUGACGAGUGGCGAACGGGUGAGUAAUGCGUCGGAACGUGCCGAGUAGUGGGGGAUAACGCAUCGAAAGGUGUGCUAAUACCGCAUACGUACUGAGGUAGAAAGUGGGGGACCUUCGGGCCUCACGCCAUUCGAGCGGCCGACGUCUGAUUAGCUAGUUGGCGAGGUAAAGGCUCACCAAGGCGACGAUCAGUAGCGGGUCUGAGAGGAUGAUCCGCCACACUGGGACUGAGACACGGCCCAGACUCCUACGGGAGGCAGCAGUGGGGAAUUUUGGACAAUGGGCGCAAGCCUGAUCCAGCCAUGCCGCGUGUCUGAAGAAGGCCUUCGGGUUGUAAAGGACUUUUGUCCGGGAGCAAAUGCCUGGUGUUAAUAGCAUCGGGAGCUGAGAGUACCGGAAGAAUAAGCACCGGCUAACUACGUGCCAGCCGCCGCCGUAAGAC
rnacentral:rRNA from 1 species